CGUUGCUUCAUAUACAAUAUUAAACGGAAUCAUAGGAAAAUCCUGAGAGCUCAUUUGCAUCUCUUCUUCUUGAGUACUUUUACUUAAAGUGUCAACUCCAAUUCUUCCUAUUCCCAAGUCAAGUAAUUGAACCUCUUGGCUAAUUUCUUUCUCCUCCUUUUUAAGAAACUUCCUUCUCCAUAUGGCAUAAAUGGAGGAACCGAAUAGCGCUAACACUAAAACCGCUGCAGAAGUACUUGCAAUGACUUUAAUCUGAGUUUUUU
rnacentral:misc_RNA from 1 species